CACAGAGUUUAUUCACAUUUUGCCACGGGAUAACCAAAAUUCACUUCCUUAUCACAUGCAAAACCCAUCAUUCAUUCCAUCCCAGUGACUCUGAGUCCUACCUCAUUCCAUCAACUCUGAAGUCUAAAGCCCAACGUCUCAUCUAAAUAUCAUCUAGAUCAGGU